UCCGAGUUGACCCCGGCAGUCUCCUGCGAGUCCCCGGCCGAACCGCUGGCAACAUGGAACGGGGGUUGCGCUCGUUGCGGGACUUAACCCAACAUCUCACGACACGAGCUGACGACAGCCAUGCAGCACCUGUGUACCCGUUUGGACCGAAGCCCAAAAAACUGUGUUUCCACAGCGGUCAAGUACAUGUCAAGCCUAGGUAAGGUUCCUCGCGUAGUGUCGAAUUAAACCACAUGUUCCACCGCUUGUGCGGACCCCCGUCAAUUCCUUUGAGUUUUAGCCUUGCGGCCGUACUCCCCAGGCGGGGUGCUUAAUGCGUUAGCUUCGGCACGGAGGGAGUCGACACCCCCCACACCUAGCACCCAUCGUUUACGGCGUGGACUAC
rnacentral:misc_RNA from 1 species